GCAGAGCUGAUGACCAAGAAAGGAUUCUUGAGAAUCUUUGGUGCAAAAAGGUGGUUUUAUUAAAGCACAGGGACAGGACCCGUGGGCAGAAGGAGCUGCACCGGGAUCAGAAAGAGUGGCCCUUUACAUACUUUCAAGUCAGGAGGGAGUUUGGAAGCAAGAUUUCCAGAACCUUGAAGGAGCUACCUAUUGUUGGGAAACGGACAUUUAUUACCAUUUAAUAAA